GAUGAACGCUGGCGGCGUGCCUAAUACAUGCAAGUCGAGCGAACGGACGAGAAGCUUGCUUCUCUGAUGUUAGCGGCGGACGGGUGAGUAACACGUGGAUAACCUACCUAUAAGACUGGGAUAACUUCGGGAAACCGUAGCUAAUACCGGAUAAUAUUUUGAACCGCAUGGUUCAAAAGUGAAAGACGGUCUUGCUGUCACUUAUAGAUGGAUCCGCGCUGCAUUAGCUAGUUGGUAAGGUAACGGCUUACCAAGGCAACAAUGCAUAGCCGACCUGAGAGGGUGAUCGGCCACACUGGAACUGAGACACGGUCCAGACUCCUACGGGAGGCAGCAGUAGGGAAUCUUCCGCAAUGGGCGAAAGCCUGACGGAGCAACGCCGCGUGAGUGAUGAAGGUCUGCGGAUCGUAAAACUCUGUUAUUAGGGAAGAACAUAUGUGUAAGUAACUGUGCACAUCUUGACGGUACCUAAGCAGAAAGCCACGGCUAACUACGU
rnacentral:rRNA from 1 species